UGGAUCGUCUGAUUCGUUUUUUGAGAGUGAACUUUGCUGUCCAUCUAUAGGAUUCUUUAGAUGCGCACUUCAUGCAAGUAACAUGGAUGCGUGUGCAUGUUUGUUCCCACUACAAUUUGACUAAUCUGAGUAGUACUAAAUUAUAGACUUAUAGUAGAGAUAUAUUAGCUGUGGUUGUGCUAUACUCCCUCCGUCCAAAAAAAAAACAAGUCGUUUUAGGAUUGUCCUAAGUCAAACUUUUUAAAAUUUGACCAAGAUUAUAGAAAAAACUACAUAUAUUUAUGGUAUGAAAUAAGUGCCUUAGAUUUAUCAUGAGAUAUGUUUUUAUAAUAUACCUAUUUGAUGCCAUAAACAUUGAUACUUUCUCUAUAAAUUUGGUCAAAGUUGAGAAAGUUUAACUUAAGACAAGCUUAGAAUGACUUGUUUUUUUGGGACGGAGGGAGUAUGCAUUGCUAAUUUCACAUGUGACAGUACACUACUUUUGAGCUCCAGAUUCAAUCUUUGAUAUCUCAUUCUUUCAUUUAGUAAUUCUUCUAUUAAUGAGACCUUGAAUGUAUGAUCUCUCAUUUCUUAUUUACUUUGGCGAGUAUAUAAUUCUAAAUUGUUGUACCUGUUUGGGGAAUUAGAGCCAAACUCUCCUUGAAGCUCUUUUUAAAUUCUUGGUUAUGUAAUCUAAAUUAGUUUUCUCCCCUUUUUCUCAGUUUGGGCCUAGGGCCUUGUACAUGU
rnacentral:lncRNA from 1 species